AGCUACAGGCUUAACACAUGCAAGUCGAGGGGCAUCAGGAAGAAAGCUUGCUUUCUUUGCUGGCGACCGGCGCACGGGUGAGUAACACGUAUCCAACCUGCCCUUUACUCGGGGAUAGCCUUUCGAAAGAAAGAUUAAUACCCGAUGGCAUAAUGAUUCCGCAUGGUUUCAUUAUUAAAGGAUUCCGGUAAAGGAUGGGGAUGCGUUCCAUUAGGUUGUUGGUGAGGUAACGGCUCACCAAGCCUUCGAUGGAUAGGGGUUCUGAGAGGAAGGUCCCCCACAUUGGAACUGAGACACGGUCCAAACUCCUACGGGAGGCAGCAGUGAGGAAUAUUGGUCAAUGGGCGCUAGCCUGAACCAGCCAAGUAGCGUGAAGGAUGAAGGCUCUAUGGGUCGUAAACUUCUUUUAUAUAAGAAUAAAGUGCAGUAUGUAUACUGUUUUGUAUGUAUUAUAUGAAUAAGGAUCGGCUAACUCCGUGCCAGCAGCCGCGGUAAUACGGAGGAUCCGAGCGUUAUCCGGAUUUAUUGGGUUUAAAGGGAGCGUAGGUGGACUGGUAAGUCAGUUGUGAAAGUUUGCGGCUCAACCGUAAAAUUGCAGUUGAUACUGUCAGUCUUGAGUACAGUAGAGGUGGGCGGAAUUCGUGGUGUAGCGGUGAAAUGCUUAGAUAUCACGAAGAACUCCGAUUGCGAAGGCAGCUCACUGGACUGCAACUGACACUGAUGCUCGAAAGUGUGGGUAUCAAACAGGAUUAGAUACCCUGGUAGUCCACACAGUAAACGAUGAAUACUCGCUGUUUGCGAUAUACAGUAAGCGGCCAAGCGAAAGCAUUAAGUAUUCCACCUGGGGAGUACGCCGGCAACGGUGAAACUCAAAGGAAUUGACGGGGGCCCGCACAAGCGGAGGAACAUGUGGUUUAAUUCGAUGAUACGCGAGGAACCUUACCCGGGCUUAAAUUGCAGUGGAAUGAUGUGGAAACAUGUCAGUGAGCAAUCACCGCUGUGAAGGUGCUGCAUGGUUGUCGUCAGCUCGUGCCGUGAGGUGUCGGCUUAAGUGCCAUAACGAGCGCAACCCUUAUCUUUAGUUACUAACAGGUUAUGCUGAGGACUCUAGAGAGACUGCCGUCGUAAGAUGUGAGGAAGGUGGGGAUGACGUCAAAUCAGCACGGCCCUUACGUCCGGGGCUACACACGUGUUACAAUGGGGGGUACAGAAGGCAGCUAGCGGGUGACCGUAUGCUAAUCCCAAAAGCCUCUCUCAGUUCGGAUCGAAGUCUGCAACCCGACUUCGUGAAGCUGGAUUCGCUAGUAAUCGCGCAUCAGCCACGGCGCGGUGAAUACGUUCCCGGGCCUUGUACACACCGCCCGUCAAGCCAUGGGAGCCGGGGGUACCUGAAGUACGUAACCGCAAGGAUCGUCCUAGGGUAAAACUGGUGACUGGGGCUAAGUCAUAACA
rnacentral:rRNA from 1 species